UACACUCCUACGGGAGGCAGCAGUGGGGAAUAUUGCACAAUGGGCGCAAGCCUGAUGCAGCCAUGCCGCGUGUAUGAAGAAGGCCUUCGGGUUGUAAAGUACUUUCAGCGGGGAGGAAGGCGAUAAGGUUAAUAACCUUGUCGAUUGACGUUACCCGCAGAAGAAGCACCGGCUAACUCCGUGCCAGCAGCCGCGGUAAUACGGAGGGUGCAAGCGUUAAUCGGAAUUACUGGGCGUAAAGCGCACGCAGGCGGUCUGUCAAGUCGGAUGUGAAAUCCCCGGGCUCAACCUGGGAACUGCAUUCGAAACUGGCAGGCUAGAGUCUUGUAGAGGGGGGUAGAAUUCCAGGUGUAGCGGUGAAAUGCGUAGAGAUCUGGAGGAAUACCGGUGGCGAAGGCGGCCCCCUGGACAAAGACUGACGCUCAGGUGCGAAAGCGUGGGGAGCAAACAGGAUUAGAAACCCCAGUAGUCCCAU
rnacentral:rRNA from 1 species